GCUGGCGUAGCUCAGUCGGUAGAGCAGCUGAUUUGUAAUCAGCGGGUCAGGGGUUCGACUCCCUUCGCCAGCUCCA
rnacentral:tRNA from 1 species